rnacentral:rRNA from 1 species
UACAGAGGUCUCGAGCGUUAGGCGGAAUCACUGGGCUUAAAGCGUGUGUAGGCGGAUCGUUAAGUACCUUGUGAAAUCCCACGGCUUAACCGUGGAACUGCUUGGUAUACUGGCGGUCUUGAGCCAGCUAGGGGCUACCGGAACAAAUGGUGGAGCGGUGAAAUGCGUAGAUAUCGGAAGGAACAUCAGUGGCGAAAGCGACUUCCUGGACCAGUACCGACGUUCAGGCACGAAAGCGUGGGGAGCAAACAGG